AGAGUUUGAUCCUGGCUCAGAUUGAACGCUGGCGGCAGGCCUAACACAUGCAAGUCGAACGGUAACAGGAAACAGCUUGCUGUUUCGCUGACGAGUGGCGGACGGGUGAGUAAUGUCUGGGAAACUGCCUGAUGGAGGGGGAUAACUACUGGAAACGGUAGCUAAUACCGCAUAACGUCGCAAGACCAAAGAGGGGGACCUUCGGGCCUCUUGCCAUCGGAUGUGCCCAGAUGGGAUUAGCUAGUAGGUGGGGUAACGGCUCACCUAGGCGACGAUCCCUAGCUGGUCUGAGAGGAUGACCAGCCACACUGGAACUGAGGCACGGUCCAGACUCCUACGGGAGGCAGCAGUGGGGAAUAUUGCACAAUGGGCGCAAGCCUGAUGCAGCCAUGCCGCGUGUAUGAAGAAGGCCUUCGGGUUGUAAAGUACUUUCAGCGGGGAGGAAGGGAGUAAAGUUAAU
rnacentral:rRNA from 1 species